AGAACGAACGCUGGCGGCAGGCUUAACACAUGCAAGUCGAGCGCCCCGCAAGGGGAGCGGCAGACGGGUGAGUAACGCGUGGGAACAUACCCUCCGGUUCGGAAUAGCUCAGGGAAACUUGGAUUAAUACCGGAUACGGCCUAGCGGCGAAAGAUUGAUCGCCGGAGGAUUGGCCCGCGUCUGAUUAGCUAGUUGGUGGGGUAAUGGCCCACCAAGGCGACGAUCAGUAGCUGGUCUGAGAGGAUGAUCAGCCACAUUGGGACUGAGACACGGCCCAAACUCCUACGGGAGGCAGCAGUGGGGAAUAUUGGACAAUGGGCGCAAGCCUGAUCCAGCCAUGCCGCGUGAGUGAUGACGGCCUUAGGGUUGUAAAGCUCUUCCGCUAGGGACGAUAAUGACGGUACCUAGACAAGAAGCCCGGCUAACUUCGUGCCAGCAGCCGC
rnacentral:rRNA from 1 species